CAGUCGCCGCGGUAAUCCGGAGGGGGCUAGCGUUGUUCGGAAUUACUGGGCGUAAAGCGCACGUAGGCGGCUUUGUAAGUUAGAGGUGAAAGCCCGGAGCUCAACUCCGGAAUUGCCUUUAAGACUGCAGAGCUAGCAGGUGAGAGAGGUGAGUGGAAUUCCGAGUGUAGAGGUGAAAUUCGUAGAUAUUCGGAAGAACACCAGUGGCGAAGGCGGCUCACUGGCUCAUACUGGACGCUGAGGUGCGAAAGCGUGGGGAGCAAACAGGAUUAGAUACCCCUGUAGUCCCUGUCUCUUAUAC
rnacentral:rRNA from 1 species